UGCUCGCACCGUGCCUCCCCUUCCGGAGUGCGGGGAGGGUGCGGGGCCGCAUCGUUGCUUCCUGUCCGGGUGUCCUCCUCCCUUUCCCCGCAGGUACGCGGUGGGAGUGAGCGGGGAGGAAGCUGAACGUGACGUUUUCAGUCAGAGGACACAAGGAAAAAGGAGGACAGAAAGAAGAUCACAGCAGCACCGAAUGCAGCGAAUGAGGAGUCAUGGAUCUGAAAUUCACUUCAGCAAGAAAAUACGUUUCCAUCAGUGUACCUUCCAAAUCUCAGACUAUGUCACCCCAUAUCAAAUCAGUAGAUGAUGUUAUAGUCCUUGGCAUUAAUCUUAGCAAGUUUAACAAGCCGGCUCAAUUUUUCAUCUGUGUUUCCGGAGUUUUUAUGUUUUAUCUAAUCUAUGGAUAUUUACAGGAAUUGAUAUUUUCAGUGGAAGGUUUUAAACCUUUUGGUUGGUACCUCACUUUAGUGCAAUUUGGAUUUUAUUCCGUUUUUGGACUAAUAGAAUUGCAGUUGAUUCAGGACAAAAGGAGAAGAAUUCCUGGCAAAACCUACAUGAUAAUAGCCUUCUUGACAGUGGGAACUAUGGGUUUGUCAAAUACCUCGUUAGGAUAUCUUAAUUACCCUACUCAAGUCAUCUUCAAGUGCUGUAAACUGAUUCCGGUUAUGGUAGGAGGGGUUUUUAUACAAGGAAAACGUUACAACAUUGCAGACGUGUCUGCUGCCCUGUGUAUGAGUCUUGGAUUAAUAUGGUUUACUUUAGCUGACAGCACAGUUGCACCAAACUUCAACUUGACAGGUGUGGUCCUAAUAUCCCUUGCACUCUGUGCAGAUGCAGUCAUAGGAAAUGUACAGGAAAAAGCUAUGAAGUUGCACAAUGGUUCUAAUUCAGAAAUGGUUUUAUACUCCUACUCAAUAGGUUUUCUGUAUAUUUUGUUUGGAUUAACUUGCACUAGCGGAUUAAGCCCUGCAGUAGCAUUUUGCUCACAGCAUCCAAUUCAGACUUACGGUUACGCAUUCCUUUUCUCCCUGACUGGAUAUUUUGGAAUAUCCUUUGUUCUAGCUUUGAUUAAAAUCUUUGGUGCCCUUUUGGCUGUAACAGGUUACCUUUUCUUAAAACUUCAAACAUCAGUCACAAGGGACUGGGGUGGGGAGGUGUAGCAAGAUGCCAUGGAACUACUUUGCUCUCCUCCCUCUCCCCACAAAAGCUGGUUUCUGUCAGUAACAACAGGAAGAAAAGCAAUGACAAUUGUGCUUUCUUUUUUGUUCUUUGCGAAGCCAUUCACAUUCCAAUACGUGUGGUCAGGCUUACUGGUUGUCCUUGGGAUAUUUCUUAAUGUUUACAGUAAGAAUAUGGAUAAAAUCAAGCUGCCUUCCCUGCAUGGUAUUUGGAAAAGAAAUGUGGAAGAAAGAAAAACAAGGACGUUGUCACAAACUGUAUAGAGAAUGGUUGAUGCCAUGUCUAGACUCUGACUUCCUGUUUUAUUGGAACGGUCUUCAACUGAUUCGCUUUCCAAAGGGAACAUUAUUAAAACCAAAGGAGCUGAAGGCACAGUCUCUGCUUGCAGAUGGCUGGAAAUGCACAUUUUUGUGAGCCCUUUCUCCAGAGCACUUGAAUUCAUCGUGAAAGGCAUUAUAGGCCUUAACCAGGUGGCAUUAUCAGGCAAUGAAGGACAGCAGCUCCUUGCAAACUGCUGAGAAGCUGCACUCUGAAUGUGACACAGUAGAAGACUUACUUGGGCAUUUUAAUGAUAUUGGCCACGUGUCUGAUUCCAGAUUAGUGUUUCUUAGUCUUCGUUAAUUGUCUGGCUGAGGUAAUUUAAAUGUUAAUUCACUGUAUUCACAUUUAAUGGAACCUAAUUAUCAACUGGUUGACCAAAUUGCAGUUUUAAAGGUGCAAGAUUUAGAAUAUGGUAUGUUGUCACUCUUUGUCACGUUAAAUAAAAAUGCUGUGUUUUUAAUAAGUUACUGAUCAGGUCAUCACAAAACUUAUUGUCAUAACUCCCGUUUUACUGGAAAUCUUAAGGUGUCAUUCUGCUCGGUGGUCAUCACUUGCAAGAAAUGAGAAUAAGACUCUGUUUGAGCAGUCAACACCCGUGCUUUUACAACAGUGGAAGUGGACUUUGGACAUCAAGUAGCUGAGAACAGAAAAUGAAAAUGUCGUGAUUGAAAUAGUGGUGUAAGAGAUUGUAGUUCGCUUAUUCUAUGGGGAAGCAGGAAAAUUUCCAUGGCCUAUGGCCCUCUUUGUCAAAGUGGUGUGAUGAGAUACGAAAGAAGGUUCUCUGAACUAGUAUCAUCAAAUUAAAAUUCUCUAUUUUCAGUAUUGGCCUAAAGAAUAACAGCAUCUGAUACUGGAUUUGAGAUAUGGAUCAUGUCGGUCUCUGUGUGGUAAUGAAUUUAAGAAGGUUAGUGUUCAGACCACAAUUUCCUUUGUUUUGUGAUAGGAGGAGGCAAUUUACUUCCAGUCUUUUCAUUGUGAAUUUGAGAAGAUUGAGUCCAUUUUUCUUUCCAGCUUUCCUUUUUGACUCAUUUUGAAUCACUUGCCUUCUCUUUCAUUGUAUGUAUUUAACACUAGCACUUUAAAAAUACAGAUCACUUUACAGUUCAUUGUU